CAGUCGCCACGGUAAUACGAAGGGGGCUAGCGUUGUUCGGAAUUAUUGGGCGUAAAGGGCGCGUAGGCGGCCAUUCAAGUUAGAUGUGAAAGCCCUGGGCUCAACCUAGGAAUUGCAUUUGAUACUGUUUGGCUUGAGUUCGGGAGAGGUGAGUGGGAUUCCCAGUGUAGAGGUGAAAUUCGUAGAUAUUGGGAAGAACACUAGUGGCGAGGCGGCUCACUGGACCGACACUGACGCUGAGGCGCGAAAGCGUGGGGAGUAAACAGGAUUAGAUACCCGCGUAGUCCCUGUCUCUUAUACA
rnacentral:rRNA from 1 species